rnacentral:rRNA from 1 species
UAUUCCCCACUGCUGCCUCCCGUAGGAGUUUGGACCGUGUCUCAGUUCCAAUGUGGCCGAUUACCCUCUCAGGUCGGCUACUGAUCGUUGCCUUGGUGGGCCGUUACCUCACCAACUAGCUAAUCAGACGCAGGUCCAUCCCUCACCGAUAAAUCUUUGGCGAUAAAGCCAUGUGACUCCAUCGCAUUAUCAGGUAUUAAUCCCAGUUUCCCGAGGCUAUCCCUGUGUAAGGGGCAGGUUACCUACGCGUUACUCACCCGUCCGCCGCUAUCCUCUGCAUCAAUCCACCGAAGUCUCAAUCAACAGAUUCCCGCUCGACUUGCAUGUGUUAGGCACGCCGCCAGCGUUCAUCCUGAGCCAA